rnacentral:rRNA from 1 species
AUUGAACGCUGGCGGCAGGCCUAACACAUGCAAGUCGAGCGAACGGCGGACGGGUGAGUAAUGUAUGGGGACUGCCCGAUAGAGGGGGAUAACUACUGGAAACGGCAGCUAAUACCGCAUACUAUCGGAUAACCCAUAUGGGAUUAGCUAGUAGGUGGGGCAAUGGCUCACCUAGGCGUCGAUCCCUAGCUGGUCUGAGAGGAUGAUCAGCCACACUGUGAUGGAGACAGGGCCCAGACUCCUACGGAGGCAGCAGUGGGGAAUAUUGCACAAUGGGCGCAAGCCUGAUGCGGCCAUGCCGCGUGUAUGAAGAAGGCCCUAGGGGUGUAAAGUACUUUCAGUCGGGAGGCGUUACCGACAGAAGAAGCACCGGCUAACUCCGUGCCAGCAGCCGCGGUAAUAC